rnacentral:rRNA from 1 species
UACGGAGGGGGCUAGCGUUGUUCGGAAUUACUGGGCGUAAAGCGCACGUAGGCGGCUUUGCAAGUUAGAGGUGAAAGCCCGGGGCUCAACUCCGGAAUUGCCUUUAAAACUGCAUCGCUAGAAUUGUGGAGAGGUAAGUGGAAUUCCGAGUGUAGAGGUGAAAUUCGUAGAUAUUCGGAAGAACACCAGUGGCGAAGGCGACUUACUGGACGACCGUUGACGCUGAGGUGCGAAAGCGUGGGGAGCAAACAGG